rnacentral:lncRNA from 1 species
AAGGAGGGUGUGCGGGGAAGGAGCGAUGUCCAGGGAACGUACUGAACAGUGGAGGUCUGAGCCUCAAGUGGAAGCCAUGGAAACUGCAUUGCACUAGGCAGAAACUGUGGAAGAUUAAAUAUAGGAUACGGAAAUAGAGAAAGCCUCUGGAGGUCUAAGGGGUGGUAGGGUUAUCACAUGUAGCCUAGACCCAUCCCUCCAGCUGGGUCCAUCCUGCAAGGGUGCUGGAUAUAACACCUGGGAACUCUCACACUGCGUCUUGAGCAAUGCAUGUACCAAAUUACGAGAGACAUUUGGUGGAGGAGGCAGGAGAGAUGGGCCAAGGACAGGCGAAGAAGAUGGGCGCUGACCUGCAGACCCUGAGCGUCCCCCUUAGUGUGUCCGUAAGGUAGGGCAGCUCUUGCCACAGAGGGAAUAUUUCCUUGGGACUGCAAGGAUGUGCCAUGGCGAAAGACUUUGAAGAGCCUGUGCAGGCCUUUGAUGCUGAUGGCGCAGCUGUGCCCUUGGGGUUCAGAUUGUGCCUGUUUAGGGGAGGAAAGCUGAG